rnacentral:lncRNA from 1 species
AGCGAUGAUUGGCGGAUAUGAUAGAUAGGUAAAGGGAUAUCCGGAUUGGUUGCCGCCUUCUCGGCUGUAGGACAGCCGGACAGAGAAUCUUCGUCUAGAGAAUUUUUCAGAAAGCUCAGAGCCAGAUCGAAUGUGAAUUGAAGCCAUUUUCCUUGCCCCCAGGUUUCCGGGUAAGUACUUUCCGUUGCAUGGUUUUAUGUUGAUUAUUAUUUUAAUGUGUGAAUUGUGGAUCAGUAAAGGCAAUGAUGAG